UUUAAAUGUAAAUUUUUGAACUAAAUUAGUAAUAGAUAUGAUCUUCAAAUUUAAAGAUUUUGGCGGUAUUUUAGUCUAUUCAGAGGAACCUGUUCUAUAAUUGAUAAUCCACGAUUAACUUUACUUAAUUUUAAAAAUUUGUAUAUCGUUGUUUAUAGAAAAUUUUAUAAGAAGAAUAAUUUUUAAUAAAUUUUAUUAAAUUGUAAAUCAAAUCAAGGUGCAGUUUAUAGUUAAGUUAGAAAUGGGUUACAAUAAAUUUAUUUAUUAAUGAAUAUAAAUUUUAAAAUUUUUAUUGAAGGUGGAUUUGAUAGUAAUAUUAUUAAAUUAAAUAAUAUGAUUUUAGCUCUAAAAUAUGU
rnacentral:rRNA from 1 species